UUAAGCUAAUAAGAGCGCAGGGAGGAUGCCUUGGCAUCAGGAGCCGAUGAAGGACGCGGUAAGCUGCGAAAAGCUCCGGGGAGUGGCAAGCACACUUUGAUCCGGAGAUAUCCGAAUGGAGCAAUCCACAUGAGUGAAGCUCAUGUAUCAUAUACUGAAUAAAUAGGUAUAUGAGGGGAACCGUCUGAACUGAAACAUCUAAGUAGGACGAGGAAAAGAAAUCAACCGAGAUUCCGCUAGUAGUGGCGAGCGAACGCGGAAGAGGCUAAACCAGAGUCAGCAAUGACUUUGGGGUUUGGACUGCAUUUAGUAUCAAUGAGGUCUAGUCGAAGUACAUGGGAAGGUACAUCGAAGAGGGUGAGAAUCCCGUAGACGAAAGAUCAAGUUGGCGAGCAGUAUCCAAAGUACCGCCGGACACGUGAAACCCGGUGGGAACACGGGGGGACCAUCCUCCAAGCCUAAAUACUACCUGAUGACCGAUAGCGCAUAGUACUGUGAAGGAAAGGUGAAAAGAACCCCGGGAGGGGAGUGAAAGAGAGCCUGAAACCCUGUGCUUACAAGCACACAGAGCACGUCAAAGUGUGAUGUGGUACCUAUUGUAGAAUGGUCCGGCGAGUUAUUUUAUGCAGCGAGGUUAAGGACUUAAGGUCUGUAGCCGAAGUGAAAGCGAGUGUUAAUAGCACGAAACAGUUGCAUGCAAUAGACCCGAAACCGGGUGACCUAUCCAUGUCCAGGCUGAAGUGAGGGUAAAACCUCAUGGAGGGCCGAACCGACUCCCGUUGAAAUGGUAGCGGAUGAGGUGUGGAUAGCGGAGAAAUUCCAAUCGAACCCGGAGAUAGCUGGUUCUCCCCGAAACCGUUUUAGGACGGGCCUCGUGUGAAGAUUAUCGGAGGUAAAGCACUGAAUAGCCUAGGGGGCGAGAGCCUACCGAAGCUUAUCAAACUCUGAAUGCCGAAUAAUCGUUUCACGGGAGUCAGACUGUGUGAGAUAAGUUUCAUAGUCAAAAGGGAAACAGCCCAGACCCACAGCUAAGGUCCCAAAGUGUAUUUAAGUGGAAAACGAUGUGAAGUUGCGUAGACAACCAGGAUGUUGGCUUAGAAGCAGCCACUCAUUAAAAGAGUGCGUAAUAGCUCACUGGUCGAGUGACUUUGCGCGGAAAAUUUAACGGGGCUAAAAUACACACCGAAGCUUGGGCUUGACGCAUUGCGUCAGGGGUAGGGGAGCGUCGUGUAAGGGGCGAAGUCGUAUCGUAAGGGACGGUGGACUUUACACGAGUGAGAAUGCCGGAAUGAGUAGCGAGAAUUAUGUGAGAAUCAUAAUGGUCGAAAGCCUAAGGUUUUUGGAGGAAGGUUCGUCCGCUCCAAGUAAGCCGGGAGCUAAGGUCAGGCGGAAACGCGUAGCCGAUGCACAUACGGUUGAAAUUCCGUAGCCUCAGAAAGAUUUAAGCAGAGGGACACUUUGAAAGGACUGUAGCCGGGUGUUGGUUACCCCGGUCGUAAGGGAACGAAAUUAAGUAGUGAAGGCAGUCUGGACGGAGGCGAGAAAAGCUCUGUGUAUAUCUAAUGAGCCCGUACCGCAAACCGACACAGGUAGGUGGGAUGAGAAUUCUAAGACCAACGGGAGAAGGGUAGUUAAGGAACUCGGCAAAUUGUCCCCGUAACUUCGGAAUAAGGGGAGCCUGCGAAAGCAGGCCGCAGAGAAUUGGCCCAGGCGACUGUUUAUCAAAAACACAGCUCUAUGCUAAAUCGAAAGAUGACGUAUAUGGGGUGACACCUGCCCGGUGCUGGAAGGUUAAGAGGAGAUGUGAGAGCAUCGAAUUGAAGCCCCAGUAAACGGCGGCCGUAACUAUAACGGUCCUAAGGUAGCGAAAUUCCUUGUCAGGUAAGUUCUGACCCGCACGAAUGGUGUAACGAUCUGGGCACUGUCUCGACUACCCGCCCGGCGAAAUUGUAGUACCGGUGAAGAUGCCGGUUACCCGCGACUAGACGGAAAGACCCCAUGGAGCUUUACUGUAGCUUAAUAUUGGAUUUCGGCAGUUCAUGUACAGGAUAGGUGGGAGACUAUGAAACACGGGCGUCAGCUUGUGCGGAGUCGUCCUUGGGAUACCACUCUUGGAUUGCUGGAAUUCUAACCUGCGGCCCUGAAUCGGGUCGGGGGACAUUGUUAGGUGGGCAGUUUGACUGGGGCGGUCGCCUCCAAAAGAGUAACGGAGGCGCUCAAAGGU
rnacentral:rRNA from 1 species